UACGUAGGGGGCAAGCGUUGUCCGGAAUCAUUGGGCGUAAAGAGCGUGUAGGCGGCUUGGCAAGUCUCGCGUGAAAUCCUGCGGCUCAACCGCAGGCGGUCGCGGGAAACUGCCUCGCUAGAGUCCGGAAGAGGAGAGUGGAAUUCCCUGGUGUAGCGGUGGAAUGCGCAGAUAUCAGGAAGAACACCUAUGGCGAAGGCAGCUCGCUGGGACGGUACUGACGCUGAGACGCGAAAGCGUGGGGAGCAAACAGG
rnacentral:rRNA from 1 species